UUAAUCAGAUCCACGGCGGUAGGCAUUGAAGGUUUGUCGGACGAAUCUAGUGUCGAAAAAAGAAAGAUGUUCGGAAUCUUUGUGGCGGCACGUACAAAAGGUUUUAUGAUUUGUUUAUGAUUUUAUGAGAAAAAGCAUCUUACAAACUUGAAAACAGAAAAUACAAACGAAGAGAACAUAUUUGCCUACCUUGAGAAUUGC
rnacentral:lncRNA from 1 species